GAAUGAAGCAAGCAUGGCAAUAUGCACAGAAAUUAAUUUGGGUCUCUAGGCCUAUCCUCUCUAAUGCCUUGGGGCUUUGAUUUGAGGAUAUGGUUCUACAACAAAACG